rnacentral:rRNA from 1 species
CUAUCCAUGUCCAGGUUGAAGCUGCCGUAAGAGGUAGUGGAGGACCGAACCCACAUCCGUUGAAAAGGGUGGGGAUGAGGUGUGGAUAGGGGAGAAAUUCCAAUCGAACCCGGAGAUAGCUGGUUCUCCUCGAAAUAGCUUUAGGGCUAGCCUCGAUACAGAUUUGCGGAGGUAGAGCACUGAAUUUCCUAGGGGGCGUCAAAGCCUACCGAAGAAUAUCAAACUCCGAAUGCCGCGUAAUCGAUUAUCGGGAGUCAGACUGCACGAGAUAAGUUGGGCGGUCAAAAGGGAAAGAGCCCAGACCUUCAGUUAAGGUCCCCAAGUGCGCGUUAAGUGGAAAAGGAUGUGGGAUUUCGAAGACAACCAGGAUGUUGGCUCAGAAGCAGCCAUCCAUUCAAAGAGUGCGUAAUAGCUCACUGGUCGAGAGGUCCUGCGCCGAAAAUGUCCGGGGCUGAAACGCGCCACCGAAACUAAGGAACCGAAAGGUUGGUAGAGGAGCAUUGCAUGCGGRAAGAAGCAGUACCGUAAGGAGCUGUGGACUGCAUGGAAGAGAGAAUGCCGGAAUGAGUAGCGAGAUAGAGGUGGGAAUCCUCUAGGCCGAAUAUCCAAGGUUUCCAGAGUAAAGCUGAUCUGCUCUGGGUAAGUCGGGGCCUAAGGCGAGGACGAGAGUCGUAGCCGAUGGACAACAGGUGGAGAUUCCUGUACUGCGGUAUGACAGAACUGUGGGGACACGUAAGGAAAGCGGAAGCCGGGAAUGGAAAGCCCGGUGCAAGCGGGGUACCAGYCACUYUGGCAAAUCCGGGUGGCAAUGGGAAGCCGUGAUGCGGAGCGAAAUACAAGUAGCGAAGUCCGUGAGCCAUGCGUCAAGAAAAGCCGCUAUYGUUUAUACCGUACCCGUACCGUAAACCGACACAGGUGGAUGAGGAGAGAAUCCUAAGGCCGGCGGAAGAAGYAUUGUCAAGGAACUCGGCAAAAUGGCCCCGUAACUUAGGGAUAAGGGGUGCCUGGGAAACCAGGCCGCAGAGAAUAGGCUCAAGCAACUGUUUAGCAAAAACACAGGUCUAUGCGAAACCGAAAGGUGAGGUAUAUGGGCUGACGCCUGCCCGGUGCUGGAAGGUUAAGAGGAGAGGUUAGCGGUAACGCGAAGCUUUGAAUUUAAGCCCCAGUAAACGGCGGCCGUAACUAUAACGGUCCUAAGGUAGCGAAAUUCCUUGUCGGGUAAGU